rnacentral:rRNA from 1 species
ACGCUCGACACCUACUGGAGGCAGCAGUAGGGAAUUUUCGGCAAUGGGGGGAACCCUGACCGAGCAACGCCGCGUGAAGGAAGAAGGAAUUCGUUCUGUAAACUUCUGUUAUAAAGGAAGAACGGCGGAUAUAGGGAAUGAUAUCCGAGUGACGGUACUUUAUGAGAAAGCCACGGCUAACUACGUGCCAGCGACGCCGACGUAUCUGAGGCGGGCGUCGGACGAACGGC